rnacentral:sRNA from 1 species
GCUGGGUGCAGUGGCUCAUGCCUGUAAUCCCAGCAACUCAGGAGGCUGAGACAGGAGGAUCACGAGUUCGAAGCCAACCUCAGCAAUGGCGAGGCACUAAGCAACUCAGUGAGACCCUGUCUCUA